UAGCUAGUUGGUGAGGUAACGGCUUACCAAGGCGACGAUCUGUAGCGGGUCUGAGAGGAUGAUCCGCCACACUGGAACUGAGACACGGUCCAGACUCCUACGGGAGGCAGCAGUGGGGAAUUUUGGACAAUGGGGGCAACCCUGAUCCAGCCAUGCCGCGUGAGUGAAGAAGGCCUUCGGGUUGUAAAGCUCUUUCGGCCGGGAAGAAAUCGCAUGGGCCAAUACCCUGUGUGGAUGACGGUACCGGAAUAAGAAGCACCGGCUAACUACGUGCCAGCAGCCGCGGUAAUACGUAGGGUGCGAGCGUUAAUCGGAAUUACUGGGCGUAAAGCGUGCGCAGGCGGUUUUGUAAGACAGGCGUGAAAUCCCCGGGCUCAACCUGGGAACUGCGUUUGUGACUGCAAGGCUAGAGUACGGCAGAGGGGGGUGGAAUUCCACGUGUAGCAGUGAAAUGCGUAGAGAUGUGGAGGAACACCAAUGGCGAAGGCAGCCCCCUGGGUCGAUACUGACGCUCAUGCACGAAAGCGUGGGUAGCAAACAGGAUUAGAUACCCUGGUAGUCCACGCCCUAAACUAUGUCAACUAGGUGUUGGGUGGGUAAAACCAUUUAGUACCGUAGCUAACGCGUGAAGUUGACCGCCUGGGGAGUACGGCCGCAAGGUUAAAACUCAAAGGAAUUGACGGGGACCCGCACAAGCGGUGGAUGAUGUGGAUUAAUUCGAUGCAACGCGAAAAACCUUACCUACCCUUGACAUGCCAGGAACUUGCCAGAGAUGGCUUGGUGCCCGAAAGGGAGCCUGGACACAGGUGCUGCAUGGCUGUCGUCAGCUCGUGUCGUGAGAUGUUGGGUUAAGUCCCGCAACGAGCGCAACCCUUGUCGUUAAUUGCCAUCAUUUAGUUGGGCACUUUAGCGAGACUGCCGGUGACAAACCGGAGGAAGGUGGGGAUGACGUCAAGUCCUCAUGGCCCUUAUGGGUAGGGCUUCACACGUCAUACAAUGGUCGGUACAGAGGGUCGCCAAGCCGCGAGGUGGAGCCAAUCCCAGAAAGCCGAUCGUAGUCCGGAUUGCAGGCUGCAACUCGCCUGCAUGAAGUCGGAAUCGCUAGUAAUCGUGGAUCAGCAUGUCACGGUGAAUACGUUCCCGGGUCUUGUACACACCGCCCGUCACACCAUGGGAGCGGGUUCCGCCAGAAGUAGGUAGCCUAACCGCAAGGAGGGCGCUUACCACGGCGGGGUUCGUGACUGGGGUGAAGUCGAAACAAGGUAGCCGUAGGGGAACCUGCGGCUG
rnacentral:rRNA from 1 species